rnacentral:lncRNA from 1 species
GAUCCGGUGUUGCCCUGAGCUGUGGUGUAGGCUGCAGAUGCAGCUCAGAUCUGGAGUUGCUGUGACUGUGGCAUAGGUCAGCUCCAGUUCGACCCCUAGCCUGGGAACUUCCAUAGCUGCGGGGGGAUGCAGCCCAAAAAAGAAAAAAAAGAAAGAAAGAAAAAAAAGAAAGAAAUGCAGCCUGUAGGAUUGUUGGAAUUCUUAUUUGCCAAGGAAGAAUCAUCUUCAUUUUUGUAGGGAAUAUGGAAAAGCAGUGUGGCUCAUGUCCCUCAUAUCCAUAAAGAGAUGAGCCAAGAAAGUAAACCUAGAUGCUGUCCCUUCCCUUGAGCACUGAAGCAAUUCCAUUUCUGCAACAUGCUCUGCAACACCACUUGCCAGAGAAGGUACAUGUUUCAAAGUCUAUUAUUUUGAUAAAUAAUAAGUUAGUAACUGUAUUAUUUGGGGGCAUGAAUAACUCAUCAUUUCUAAGUAUUUUUUAUGAAAUUGUUUCAAUCAACAAUUGCCAUAGUAGUGACAAUGCUGG